GCUACUUGAAAUACCUAUGCUUUAUGAGGUGCUUUGUUUUUCAAGUGUUUAACUGGAUUAUACAGUAGCCAUUCCAGGUACUCCUUGGUUUAUGGCAGAGAGCUCGAAAGAUGCGGCAAAGCACAGGAAUGGAUUUUAGAGGUUUAAAUGAUGCUGAGCCCUGAUGUUUCUGAGAUCUAAAGGGGCUGUCAAGAGCUAUUUAAAGCCCAUGGGAAUUUUGUUUGUUUUUUUCCAACUGUAUGACUUGGGAAAUAAAAGCAGUUAGUACAACUUAAUGCUAAAGUCUUACAGUGCUCUUGAUUUCCUUCUAUGUUUCCAUCUCUGGCUACAAAGAGGAAAACUGGAAGUGUUGCAUCCUUGUAGAACUGAAC
ensembl:lncRNA